AUUGAACGCUGGCGGCAGGCCUAACACAUGCAAGUCGAGCGAGCGGCGCACGGGUGAGUAAUGUCUGGGAAUCUGCCUGAUGGAGGGGGAUAACUACUGGACACGGUAUCUAAUACCGCAUACUAUCAGAUGCGCCCAGAUGGGAUUAGCGAGUAGGUGGGGUAAUGGCUCACCUAGGCGACGAUCCCUAGCUGGUCUGAGAGGAUGACCAGCCACACUGGAACUGAGACACGGUCCAGACUCCUACGGGAGGCAGUAGUGGGGAAUAUUGCACAAUGGGCGCAAGCCUGAUACAGCCAUGCCGCGUGUAUGAAGAAGGCCUUCGGGUUGUAAAGUACUUUCAGCGGGGAGGCGUUACCCGCAGAAGAAGCACCGGCUAACUCCGUGCCAGCAGCCGCGGUAAUAC
rnacentral:rRNA from 1 species